rnacentral:rRNA from 1 species
UACAGAGGUCCCAAGCGUUGUUCGGAUUCACUGGGCGUAAAGGGUGCGUAGGUGGUGGGGUAAGUUUGAUGUGAAAGCUCCGGGCUUAACCCGAAAAUGGCAUUGAAUACUAUCUCGCUUGAGGGUUGGAGGGGAGACUGGAAUUCUUGGUGUAGCAGUGAAAUGCGUAGAUAUCAAGAGGAACACCAGUGGCGAAGGCGAGUCUCUGGACAACUCCUGACACUGAGGCACGAAAGCUAGGGGAGCAAACAGG